UCAGAAGAGAUGGUACCAGCUCCUCUUUGUACCUCUGGUAGAACACAGUGAUAAAUCCAUCUGGACCUGAGCUUUUUUUGGUCUGCUGCAGUUUGCUGGGGGUCCACUCCAGACCCUGUUGGCCUGGCUAUCACCAGCAGAGUUUUCAGAAUGGCAAAGAUUCCUGCCUGCUCCUUCCUCUGGAAGCUUCAUCCCAGACAGGCACCGACCCGAAGCCAGCCAGAGCUAUCUUGUAUGAGCGUCUUUCUUUGUCGCCCAGGCUGGAGUGCAGUGGCGGGAUCUCAGCUCACUGCGGCUUACACCUCCCAGGUUCAAGCGAUUCUUCUGCCUCAGCCUCUCAAGUAGCCGGGACUACAGGCAUGCACCACCACACCUGGCUAAUCUUUGUAUUUUCAGUAGAGAUAGGGUUUCACCAUGUUGGUUAGAUUGGUCUCAAACUCCUGACCUCAGGUGAUCUGCCUGCCUCAGCCUCCCAAAGUGCUGGGAUUACAGGUGUGAGCCACCACGUCUGGCCAUCUGAGCCUAAGUCUUAAGAAGACCUGAUCAUUUCAAUUCAUGCUCUUAGGAGUCUAUAGUCACCAUUUGAGUCUUGCUGGAGAAAGCAUGUGAAAAAACCACAAGGAGGGAGCAAGUGGAAAGGAAGAGGUCCUGAAACAACAGAGAAGAAUCAAAGAAACAAGUCAAUCGGGAGAAGCACAGCCUGCUCGUUUUCCCAGUUGAGCCAUUGCAGCCAGCCUCGAACUAUUCCAGAAAUUCUAGCAGAGGUACCAGGCAUGUGAGUGAGUGAAGGAGCUUUCUUGGACCUUCUAGCCCUAGCAGACACAACGCAGAGCAGAAACAAGCCAUCUCCACUGUUCUGUUUGAAUCCCUGACUCACAGAAUUGCAUACAAGUAAAAUGGUCGUUAUAUUAAGCCACUUAGUUUUAAGAUUGUUUAUUAUGCAGCAGCAGGUACGUGAAACACCAAGGAAAUUUUUAACAAUGUUCAAGAAAAGCUGAUAUUUCCUUUUGUUUCUCUUCCCUAUAAUGUUUGGCUCUAUGCAAGUGGAAAAAAGAGUGUGCUUUCGUGUUCUGUCCAUUCUACCAGAACUUUAGCUGAAGUCAUUAGGAAAGGUGUACCUAGUUGAGAUAACUACUCUUAUAAAAUCCUUUAAUAUGGAACAGAGGGUGGCAGGAGGCAGCCAAAUGCCUAGGCAGAUAGGGACGGGUCCCCGGUGAAACCCCACCUCCAAGCCAAAGACAGUUUAAAGCCUGAAAGCCAAGCUACAAGUUAAAUCCUCAGACCAGAUUGAGAACUUGUUUUCCUAUUUGGCAUGCUUUCCUCUGAUUGGUCCCCACCCUUAACCUAUUUUACAUAUACCUACCCUUUCCUAAUUGGUUUUCUACAUUGUCAUGCCCACCUUUGAGUGGUGUCUUCACUUUAAACUUUUUUGCUACUCACAAACCAAUCAGCAUGCAUUCCCCAUUCUGAGUCCAUGAAAGACCCUGGACCCAGCCACAGAGGGACUUUCACACCUUCAGGUAGGGGGACCACUCCCAUGUUCCCUCUCCACUGAAAGCUGUUUCAUCGCUCAAUAAAAUUCUUUUCCAUCCUCCUCACUCUUCAGUGUCCUGCGUAUCCUCUUUCUUCUUGAGUAUGGUACAAGAGCUCAGGGAUCGCUGAAUGUGGGUACAAGCUAUAACACAGGCAAGUUGGGGCAUGCCAGCAUGGCUGAGUGGGGCCCAGGUGGGGCAUUGCCAGCCAGAGAUCUUCAGCUUGCAAAGCAAGCAAGAAGAAAAAUCCUACAUCAGAACUUUAUGAGGGAAAUCAAGGAUUAGCUGAUCUCAUUCUGUGGAAUGAGCAUGUUUAGUUGACAACAUACCUGUGCACAACAAAGAAGGGAUGAUAUAUAGUGGUUUUCAGCCUUCAUUCCUAAUUCUUUCUCACUGUAAAUUCAUCAAAAGCCUUAGUUGGGUAUCCAACAAAUAUUAAUUGAUCAUCUAUAACAUGCAAGGUACUGUUCUAGUGUAACUGAGUUAUCCCAAUUUUUCUAAGAGAUAUAGAAUGAGGUUUUUUUCUCUUCUUUUCUCUUUCCUCCCUUUCCCCAAUUCCCCCACUUCUUACUUAGCUCUUUAGAAAUGCAGUUAAAACCAUUUACCUUCCCUUCAACAGGCAAAAUUAUCUAACCAUGUGCUUACUUAAAAGCUCCAGGGCAGAAAUAUCUCCCACCAGGAGAUUGCCUUGAGAGACAAUAGUCAAUUUAUAACCAAAAGUAUGCCUGCUACAAAAUUCUCUCCCACCUGGAGAGAAUCUGGAGACAAGACCACUCUACAAUCUAGUUCUGACCAUGAUGGUGCCAGCUCAACCACCCAGUAGGUCAAAUACCAAAACAAGUCACAUGGACUCCCCACCAGCUCACUCCCUCCCUGCGUGCCAUUCAUGCCACAUUCCCUCUUAAAAUCCCCUGCUUUCUGCUCCAAAAGUGAAGCAGUACCCUUAAGGCAGGAAGCCUAUACUUCUUCCCCUAAGCUAGCUUUGGAAUAGAAAAUCACGUUCUUUAUACCAGACCUCAUUCUUGUGCGCUGCACUCUGCAAGCAGUGAGUGACUGCUUUGCACUAGCAUGAUGCAUACAGCAAGGAAUACAGCAAAUUCCCCACCUUUGGGAUCUUCCCUGCACGGAUCAUGUAGGAAGUGGUGGGAUGGGCUGGGCUGGGCUGGGCUGGAUCAGAUCGAUUUUGUGACAUGCAGGCUUUAUAAACCCUCUUUUGCCACAGUUUCAGAGGGGUCCUAAUGCUGCUGUUAUAAAAAUAACUAAAUAAUAAAAAUUAAAAUUGAGAAGUCCAUGUUACUCGUUUAUUAUAGAAAAUUCUGAGUUUCCAUC
rnacentral:lncRNA from 1 species